AAAAAGGGCUUCUGCCGUGUUUGGCACGGGGUGGGGCUAGUCCCGCUCCCGCGGAAUCGACAUCAAGAGAUUUCGGAAGCACAAUUUUUGUGAAGAAGGGCUGCUGGUAACCGCUUGUUCCAGCACCCUG
ensembl:snRNA